UAUUCAAGUCACAGACUAAGAGGGAGGGA
rnacentral:piRNA from 1 species